rnacentral:rRNA from 1 species
AGUGAAAGAGGGGGGCAGGCAGAACACAUGCAAGUCGAGCGGAUGAAGGGAGCUUGCUCCUGGAUUCAGCGGCGGACGGGUGAGUAAUGCCUAGGAAUCUGCCUGGUAGUGGGGGAUAACGUCCGGAAACGGGCGCUAAUACCGCAUACGUCCUGAGGGAGAAAGUGGGGGAUCUUCGGACCUCACGCUAUCAGAUGAGCCUAGGUCGGAUUAGCUAGUUGGUGGGGUAAAGGCCUACCAAGGCGACGAUCCGUAACUGGUCUGAGAGGAUGAUCAGUCACACUGGAACUGAGACACGGUCCAGACUCCUACGGGAGGCAGCAGUGGGGAAUAUUGGACAAUGGGCGAAAGCCUGAUCCAGCCAUGCCGCGUGUGUGAAGAAGGUCUUCGGAUUGUAAAGCACUUUAAGUUGGGAGGAAGGGCAGUAAGUUAAUACCUUGCUGUUUUGACGUUACCAACAGAAUAAGCACCGGCUAACUUCGUG